CCCGCUGAACUUAAGCAUAUCAAUAAGCGGAGGAAAAGAAACCAACAGGGAUUACCUCAGUAACGGCGAGUGAAGCGGUAACAGCUCAAAUUUGAAAUCUGGCCUCACGGUCCGAGUUGUAAUUUGCAGAGGAUGCUUCGAGCAUGGUCUGGCCUAAGUUCCUUGGAACAGGACGUCAUAGAGGGUGAGAAUCCCGUAUGCGGUCAGGUGCCUACGCUCAUGUGAAGCUCCUUCGACGAGUCGAGUUGUUUGGGAAUGCAGCUCAAAAUGGGUGGUAAAUUUCAUCUAAAGCUAAAUAUUGGCCAGAGACCGAUAGCGCACAAGUAGAGUGAUCGAAAGAUGAAAAGCACUUUGGAAAGAGAGUUAAACAGUACGUGAAAUUGUUGAAAGGGAAGCGCUUGCAACCAGACUUGCGCGCGGCCGAUCAUCCGGUGUUCUCACCGGUGCACUCGGCCGUGCUCAGGCCAGCAUCGGUUUCGGCGGUUGGAUAAAGGCCUCAGGAAUGUGGCUCCUCUCGGGGAGUGUUAUAGCCUGGGGUGCAAUGCAGCCUGCUGGGACCGAGGACCGCGCUUCGGCUAGGAUGCUGGCGUAAUGGUUGUAAGCGGCCCGUCUUGAAACACGG
rnacentral:rRNA from 1 species